GAUGAACGCUCGCGAUAGGCUUAACACAUGCAAGUCGAGGGGUAACGUGUUGGAAGCUUGCUUCCGAUGACGACGACCGGCGGAUGGGUGCGUAACGCGUAUGCAACUUGCCUCACAGUGGAGAAUAACCCGGAGAAAUCCGGACUAAUGUUCCAUACACUCUUAAGUACUCCUGUACAUGAGAGGAAAGAUUUAUCGCUGUGAGAUAGGCAUGCGUCCUAUUAGGUAGUUGGUGAGGUAACGGCUCACCAAGCCGACGAUAGGUAGGGGUGCUGAGAGGCAGAUCCCCCACAUUGGGACUGAGACACGGCCCAAACUCCUACGGGAGGCAGCAGUGAGGAAUAUUGGUCAAUGGAGGAAACUCUGAACCAGCCAAGUCGCGUGAAGGAAGAAUGUCCUAAGGAUUGUAAACUUCUUUAGCGAGCGAGUAAGGACUUCCACGUGAUGGGAGUUUGAAAGUAGCUCGAGAAUAAGUAUCGGCUAACUCCGUG
rnacentral:rRNA from 1 species